rnacentral:rRNA from 1 species
UACGUAGGGUGCGAGCGUUAAUCGGAAUUACUGGGCGUAAAGCGUGCGCAGGCGGUUCUGCAAGUCAGAUGUGAAAUCCCCGGGCCUAACCUGGGAACUGCGUUUGUGACUGCAAGACUGGAGUGCGGCAGAGGGGGGUGGAAUUCCACGUGUAGCAGUGAAAUGCGUAGAGAUGUGGAGGAACACCGAUGGCGAAGGCAGCCCCCUGGGUCGACACUGACGCUCAUGCACGAAAGCGUGGGUAGCAAACAGG